rnacentral:misc_RNA from 1 species
UCCGAGUUGACCCCGGCAGUCUCCUAUGAGUUCCCGGCAUAACCCGCUGGCAACAUAGGACGAGGGUUGCGCUCGUUGCGGGACUUAACCCAACAUCUCACGACACGAGCUGACGACAGCCAUGCACCACCUGUGCACAGGCCCCGAAGGGCUGCCGUAUUUCUACGACAUUCCUGUGCAUGUCAAGCCCAGGUAAGGUGGGGAUGACGUCGUAU